ensembl:miRNA
CUUCGAGACUGAGGGGUGGUCAUCCAUCCCGGACGAGCCCCCAAAUGAAAGGACCCCCAAGAGGGGAGACCCCUCCUCAAGUCACAGGUGACGGCGUAACCCCAAUCAGUCACGA